AGGGGCCCUGCCCGCGGCCCGCCUCGCUCGCCCCGAGGCAGCCGGUGUGUCCCCGGGACGGCGCCCACCAGCCCCCACGGGGGAGCACAGGUCCAUUUAAUAAAGGGACACUGAAAAAUUACUGCAAUCUUAAUUGUCACAUUACUUGAAACUGAAACGCUCUAGUGACCUGUGCUAACUUUCCUGUUAAGCAGAGCUACGAAUGAGUGAGGUAUUUCUCUGCCAAAGCAGAGGUCCACUGGAAAAAAAAAAAACAAAACAAAACACUUAUAUCCCAAAACCGCAGAGUACAACUGGAAAAAGUAUACAGGUGUUUGAAGAAAUUCCACUUAGGUUUUAAAACAGCUCGAAAGUGGCUACAAUAUUGCUGCAUGCUACCCUUAAAAUCUCGGUACAGAGACUACAGAUAAGAUCCAGGAAGACCACUGAUCUGCAUUUCUGUGGUAAUAGUUCUAUGCUACAGAAGUAAAAAAACAACAAAAAAAAUGCAAUGGGACCUUUUGAACAGCUGAAUUUUCUACAUACCUGCAUGAAAUAACCAGAGAUAAAUCCUGUUCUAAAAGAAUUGCCUUUUGUCUGUCUGAAUAAUAAAGGUAGAG